UACGUAGGGGGCAAGCGUUGUCCGGAAUCAUUGGGCGUAAAGAGCGUGUAGGCGGCCCGAUAAGUCCGCUGUGAAAGUCCAGGGCUCAACCCUGGGAUGCCGGUGGAUACUGUCGGGCUCGAGUCCGGAAGAGGAGUGUGGAAUCCUGGUGUGAGCGGUGAAAUGACGCAGAUAUCAGGAGGAACACCAAUGGCGAAGGCAGCACUCUGGGACGUGACUGACGCUGAGACGCGAAAGCGUGGGGAGCAAACAGG
rnacentral:rRNA from 1 species